rnacentral:lncRNA from 13 species
AUGAAUGAAGCUGGAAGCCAUCAUUCUCAGCAAACUGAUGCAAGAACAGAAAACCAAACCCCACAUGUUCUCACUCAUAAGGAUUUCUGCUUUUGCAUCUUCCUCAUUCUCUCUUCGCCUGCUGCCAUCCAUGUAAGACAUGAUUGUGAGACUUCCCCAGCCACAUGGACCUGUAAGUCUAAUUAAACCUCUUUCUUUUAUAAAAUGUCCAGUCUUGGAUAUGUGGACUAAUAUUACUUCCAUCAUAUUUCUCCAUAGAUAUAAGGGCAUACUCUCAUAGAAUGGUUAACAAUGAGAACACAUGGACACAGGGAGGGGAGCAUCACACACUGAGAU